CCUGGGGGCCAGGGACACACCCAGGAGCAGGGCCAGACUCCUGGGGGCCAGGGACACACCCAGGAGCAGGGCCAGGCUCCUGGGGGCCAGGGAGACACCCAGGCCGGGACAGGGAUCACCCAGCUGACCAGCCCUCAUGCCUCAGAGCUCAAGGUACAGCCUGGUUAGUGUGUUGAGUCACAUUGGUUCUUCUACCAACUCGGGUAAGGCUCACACCAUGUUACACUCACACAGGAACUGUUUGUAAGUAUUUCAAUUACACACCCUUACACAUAUGUCCAACUUGACUGACCCUAUUCAGCUGCUUGUUUAAAACAAAUGGACUUAUUUAGGUUGCUGGGGGUAAGUAUACACACACAUACACCAUUCACGGGUGAGUAUAACACACCAUUCACGGGUGAGUAUAACACACCAUUCACGGGUGAGUAUCCACACUCACACAUUGACAGCACCACAGUGGGGUGAACAGGUGAGUAUAACCCCGAUUGGCUCUACCCUACCUAACAGAGCACCCCCCUCUCCCUAAAGGCCACUACAUCUGUGACUGUCACUACACAGACGGGAACCCCGACGACCCGACAGACCGCUGGCUCUCCUACAACGACCACAUCGUCACGGAGACGACCGGCGAGUUAGUCUGCGAGCGCAGGCAGAGGAGCUCCUACUUGCUGUUCUACGAGAGACGGUAGAGCAGACGCGCCUGACAGCCGUCCUGCGCCGGAUACGCCCAGCGAAGGAUCCACCGCGCGACGGAGGCGUGGGGAAGUGAAACCAGGGACUGUGCGAGCUGCUCCAGAGACACGGCUGGCCCCCUGUCUGCAGCAUGCCAGUCUAGCCUCAGGAGGAUAGGCUGCCCCCCCAAGGGCCUGGAUCCUCUCAAGGUUUCUCCCCCAUGAGGGAGUUGUUCCUUGCCGCUGUCGCCACAAUUUUUGGCUUGCCCUCGGGGGGGAUUUUAGAAAAUAAAUGGUUUCACCUUCUCCGUUCUCAUGUGGUUGGCAUUGCUUGGCAUAAUAAUCAUAUUUUAUUUGGGGGAUGCCUUUCAAAGCAUUCAAGUACAUCUUACAUGAAAUGGGCCUAUGUAGAUGAGUUCAAAAACAGUGGAGGUUAAAAGAGACGUAUGCAGUAUACGUGACAUAAGGCUUUGGUGGGCAGACUCUCCCCAGAGUUUAAGACCUGAGAGGCAUCAUAAGGAGAGUGCUAGACCCGAUAUCGAAGUGUAAUAAUACAAAAUAAUUGUCAUUUUUACUCCUAACUUUAGGCGUAGCCCCUACCAGCCUGGGUUUGAUACGAUGACUAUACAGAUGAGUGUGUUGAGGUAUUCAACCACAAUGACGUUUUGUUUCUGUGGUUGUAUCUAUCCAAUUGCGUACAGAGGCAUUUGGGUCGGCGCCCAUUGAUCCUUGCGAGACGACAGCUGGAAUUGUCAUAUUUUGCACUUGGCUCUCAAUCCCCCCCUCCUCCUGGCCAAGCACACUGACCCCAGCCUCCAGCUGCUAUCACACCGUCCUUCCUCUCCUUUAUUUAUGAAGGCCGCAGAGAGCGGCCAAGCACAUUCAAUAACACACUGAUGUGCUCUGGAGGGAAGUAUUAGUGGAUUAAGACAGCGGGGAUGAGGAUGGAUUAGAUGACAUGGUUUACUUUCCCAGGCCAAGGUAGAUUUGUCAGCCUGGCUGUAACCCACUGUCCUGAUUUGGAAGAACGUGGUGAUUCUGUUCAAACGCUAUAUGUCGUUGCUGCUGCCGUCUGGCACAGCAGUGCCAGCAGAUGUUUGAAUGGUGUAUAUGUUGUUGAGUAU